rfam:Schistosoma curassoni strain Dakar, Senegal genome assembly, scaffold: SCTD_scaffold0004099
AUCCAGCUGACGAUUCCCAGAUAGGACGAAACACGCGUCCUAUAU